rnacentral:lncRNA from 1 species
AAGUUUAAAAUAUUAAUCAAUCACAACCAUGGAUGGAAAUCAGGGUUGAAGGAAUCUGACAGACCGAAACUGCAACAACGCGACAUUCUGAAUGACAAGACGUGCAACUCAUUCUAUUUCCUGUUCAAAGUGCCAUGUGGUAAUGCGAGACAUAAAACCAUCAUGGUAUUGAUGCGAGAACUUAUCCUGAAGCUAUUACUGGAUCUCAUUAAGUUAGAGAAGCAGCAAGUGGCUUCAGGCAUUUUCUCACUGCACUUAGCAUUGUAAUGAAUUCCACUCAGAGGUCUACCACAUGACCUGAAAAUAAGUCUUAGAGGCAAAAAAUCCAUACUGGGUAUAAACAGUGUACAGUGUAAACUUUUCAGGGUAUGGCUGGCACUAAAACACUGUAAUCUCGUCAUAAGAGGCAAGACAGCAGAGUUCAUGAUACCCAAAUAUAGAUAAUCUAACAUGUCCAAAGCUACUUG